GAGCUCACAGCCAAUUUCAUGAGACGGUGCUACAUUAUCGUGCCUUCUUGCAUGAGGAAUUCAAGGCCACAUGCGGUUUCGUCACUUGUCAAAGGUUAGUGUUGCUGAGGUUAGAACUGGGUCCCACUUUGAUCUGAUUCCAAAGCCUGAUCCCUUAACUAGUGUGUGGAGCUGACUGCAGGGAGACUGCUACACCCAGGAAGAGCUGCAGCUGUCUCAGAUCUUAAAACCAUUCAUCGGGAGAACUAGGAAAGGACACCUCUGGGCCUGCCUGUGAGCUGCUGCUAGAGAAGAUUAGCCGAGAACUGAGUGAAUGAGAGCCACCUUGAGAGGAGUGCCAUCUAACAGGCUGGAGGUCCGGGUGACGUGAGAAAGUAGAAAGGGGAAGCAAGCCCUGGAUUAUGAGUUUCUUCCCCAGUGGGUGUGGUUUGAUGCUGCCGAUUCAGAUGAACAUCACACUCCAGCAUCACACUCCAGCUUCUUCAGCCUUUGACAGACCUGCAGCAGUGAGAUGCAAGGACCUUGGAGGCCCUCACCCUCAGACCCAGGACAACCGUUGGCUUCUCAGUCUCUGUUCUCACAAGCAUCUUGUUCUGCGUUCCCUAGCUGACACCCAGCUCUCCAAUCUACAGAGGACUGCUGUGGCCCCACAGAGUACUCCAGACUAUUAGCUUCCUCUUGUUAUUGUAUAUAUUCCUUACCCUUAAUGGUCCCAAUACAAGGGUGAAUUAUCACUCUUCUCAGAUCUGUCACCAUCAAUCCAAUAAUGAAGAGAACCAUUUUCAUCUGAAUAAGCAAUUAACCUCCAAGUGGCAGCGUGGAACCAAGGUCUACAGUGGCUGCUGAGGUCAGACUUGAAGAAAUGACUCACAUGCAAGGCUGAUCUACAUAAGUAGCCUGUGCUAAGACUGCCAUCUGGUAGAACAAUCUACAUCACACGACUCCACGUUUCCUGUUACCCAAGCAUCUCCAUGCUCUGCAGGUGCAGCUUCGAUGGACCAUGGCCAUAUUGCCCCACUACUAUCAAUCACACUGAGAUGUAGUCCACAGCAUUCAACAAGCCACCACUCAUGGGAUAGAGGAUAGGCAAAAGGAACAACUAAGACAGUAGAGGAGCCCAGCACUCCGAACCCCUAAUCAUGCCUUCGGUGGAUUCCUUUGGUAAAGUUUUCCUUUGUGGGUUUCUUUCAGCACUUGACCCAUAGCCCAUGGAAUGUGUCAGCUCUAAUUGCCUGUGUGGAUUGGCACAAGUCGUGCCUCAAAAUUGGAAUGUUGUCACAUAUAACAUAGCCUUUCAGAGGGAUAAAUGUGGAAAAUGUUUUACCCAUGAAUUCCUUAGAAGCAAUUGUGCUCUAUCACGUGAAAGGCUGAAGACCUGGACAGAACCUAAUGACUAUAUCCCCAAGAUCCCCAAGGUUCAGUGGCUUUCAGGAUGUUGCUCUCCCUGACUCCAUGGACAUCACAGAAUGACAGUUGUCCACUGGAGUAUUCUUCACCCAGGCAGCUUUCUAAAAAAAGGAAAUUUGAGAGUUGCAAGGACAGAUGAAGGGGCUGAGGGCCUGGGAUCCCUUUAUGUGAGACUCAUUAUUGAAGAACAACUUAUACAAUUAUUAUCUGAGGACCAGGUGACAGCUGUCAAGAAGGCCUCCUUGUAAGAGGGUGCAGAAUAUAUGAAAUUUGUCUUUAGGUGAUGAUCUACUACUAAGAGUGAUGCUAUGAGGUUGGCAUCUAAGGAAAAGAAAAGAGGCUGGCAUAUGGUGAGCACCUAGUCUGUGCCAUGAAUUGUGAACUUAACCUUGAAUUCUCGUAUGUUCAUCUAAGGUCUGUUUUCUUUAAGGAGAGAUUGUGACCCUCUUGGUCUGGUAUGCAAGCUGUGAUGAAUACAGAGCUCUUCAGAUGGAUCAACCCUUUCCUUACUCACUCUACAGCUAUCCUCACCAGACAGACACACAGACAGAUAGAUAGACAGACAGACACAGGUAGAAGGACAUGCAUUUGGACCAAACACUACAGCAAAAUAGCUCAAAGAUCAUUUCAUACAUCAUAAAUUCAGAUAACUUUCUUCUUUUUCCAUAAAUAGUUCUAAUUUAAAAUACACAGUCAAACACCAACAUGUUGUUACCAAAAACAAAACAAAGCAAAGCAAAACAAAACAAACACUAUAAUAUUAUUUGGGGACCCUAAGCUUGUCAAUGAAUCUGUUUAAUUUUGGAGGUAAAAUUAGCCAGGUUUUGAGAUUGAGCUGACUAUCACAAAACCAGAACUUUCCAUCAGCUGGAGAGGGGCAGUUAAUAACUGCCUCCGGGGGGGGGGGGGGGGCGUGGAGAGAAGGAAGGUCUCUCUUCGCAAGACGUUAGUAUGAGAAUUCCCAUGCCAAACGAAGGCCCACAGGAAAUGCCUAGUUGUGGUGAUGACUCCCAGACAGCCCCGCUCGUCAGACCUCCAUUCCAAUCUCUUUCUGGCGCCAUCAUGUGAAGAAAUUGUUUUUGUCCUAGGCUACAUCUUUUUGGGAAAAUAGCAGACUGUGAGCUUCUAAACAUCUCAUGAUUGAUAGUUGACAUUUUUCCCAAGAGAUUGGGCCAGGCUCCCAUCAGGGAAUGGGUUGGAGGCUAAAGAGAAUCCUUUAGAGACCUGCAACCUUGCAUUUGGAGAGCUAGGCAGGGACACAAGCAUCUCCUACUUUACAAAUAAAGCCAAGGUGACUGGGAUUCUUGAACAAAUGAGCAUGGGACUCCUAGUAUGAGGAAUUAUUGAGUAUCCAUCUUCUGCUUGAGAGUCUUUCAGAUACUUGUAGUCACAGGAAAUCUUCUCUCACUAAAAUGGUCUUUAUGUUUGUG
rnacentral:lncRNA from 1 species